rnacentral:rRNA from 1 species
AGCACUGUAGGUGUCAGCCGCCGCGGUAAUACGGAGGGAGCUAGCGUUGUUCGGAAUUACUGGGCGUAAAGCGCGCGUAGGCGGUUUUUUAAGUCAGAGGUGAAAGCCCAGUGCUCAGCACUGGAACUGCCUUUGAAACUGGAAAACUUGAAUCUUGGAGAGGUCAGUGGAAUUCCGAGUGUAGAGGUGAAAUUCGUAGAUAUUCGGAAGAACACCAGUGGCGAAGGCGACUGACUGGACAAGUAUUGACGACUGAGUGCGAAAGCGUGGGGAGCAAACAGGAUUAGAUACCCCUGGUAGUCCACGCCGUAAACGAUGAUAACUAUCUGUUCGGGCUCAUAGAGCUUGAGUGGA